GUUAAGUUAGUUUAAAGUAAAAACAUCAGCCUGUGGAUUUGAAAAUGAAAGUUAUUUCACUUAACC
rnacentral:tRNA from 1 species